rnacentral:miRNA from 14 species
GCUAGCCAUAUCUGACGUUCAACACACCCUCUCCUCUUCCUAUAUGUCUAGGGAGGAUUUGCCUCCAUAUACCUUGAGAGAUGAGGUAGUAAUUAGAACUUUCAUGAAGCAA